GAUGAACGCUGGCGGCGUGCCUAAUACAUGCAAGUCGAGCGAACAGACGAGGAGCUUGCUCCUCUGACGUUAGCGGCGGACGGGUGAGUAACACGUGGAUAACCUACCAAUAAGACUGGGAUAACUUCGGGAAACCGGAGCUAAUACCGGAUAAUAUAUUGAACCGCAUGGUUCAAUAGUGAAAGACGGUUUUGCUGUCACUUAUAGAUGGAUCCGCGCCGCAUUAGCUAGUUGGUAAGGUAACGGCUUACCAAGGCAACGAUGCGUAGCCGACCUGAGAGGGUGAUCGGCCACACUGGAACUGAGACACGGUCCAGACUCCUACGGGAGGCAGCAGCAGGGAAUCUUCCGCAAUGGGCGAAAGCUUGACGGAGCAACGCCGCGUGAGUGAUGAAGGUCUUCGGAUCGUAAAACUCUGUUAUUAGGGAAGAACAAAUGUGUAAGUAACUAUGCACGUCUUGACGGUACCUAAUCAGAAAGCCACGGCUAACUACGUG
rnacentral:rRNA from 1 species